UACUGAAUCAUAGAAUUUCUUUAAAUUCAUGAUGUCGUAAGGGAAAAUAAUGAUAUUACCUUACUAUGAGUGUCGUCCAAAGCUGGUGCCAGAAGACUCGGUAAGACCAGAGACGCAAACGUUAAUCAUCUUAAACAGGCGUAAAGGGUUUGUAGGCAGCUUUCAUAAUAUUAUUUCUUACAAAAAUAAAGAAGUGGUCUGAUUGAAAGCUAGAAUCAAAAAGAGGUUAUAGUGUAUAACGCCUAGAGGAGGGCUGAUAUCCUUAGAUCCUAGGCAGAAUACUUAGGGCGAAGGCCACUCUCCACUAAUGAUUGACGCUGAGAAACGAAGGUAAGGGUAGGAAAUAGGAUUAGAUACCCCGGUACUCCUUUCUGUAAACGAUGAAUGGUAGUCAUUAGUAAAAUUAACUAGAGACGAAGUUAACACAAUAACCAUUCCGCCUUGUGAGUACUACUGCAAAGUAGAAAACAAAAAAAUUAGUCGGUCUCGAAGCAAACGGAGUGAAGCAUGUUAUUUAAU
rnacentral:rRNA from 1 species